ACGAACGCUGGCGGCGUGCUUAACACAUGCAAGUCGAACGGAAAGGCCCUGCUUGCAGGGUACUCGAGUGGCGAACGGGUGAGUAACACGUGGGUGAUCUGCCCUGCACUUCGGGAUAAGCCUGGGAAACUGGGUCUAAUACCGGAUAGGAGCCAUUUUUAGUGUGAUGGUUGGAAAGUUUUUUCGGUGUAGGAUGAGCUCGCGGCCUAUCAGCUUGUUGGUGGGGUAAUGGCCUACCAAGGCGGAGACGGGUAGCCGGCCUGAGAGGGUGGACGGCCACAUUGGGACUGAGAUACGGCCCAGACUCCUACGGGAGGCAGCAGUGGGGAAUAUUGCACAAUGGGCGCAAGCCUGAUGCAGCGACGCCGCGUGGGGGAUGACGGCCUUCGGGUUGUAAACUCCUUUCGCUAGGGACGAAGCUUUUUGUGACGGUACCUAGAUAAGAAGCACCGGCUAACUACGUG
rnacentral:rRNA from 1 species